AAUAUUUUCAUCACGACACAAGACAUUUGAAGAAGAGAUCUUUGCAAUUGGAAAACCUUGGCGACUGAGUUUGUCAGUGGUUAAAACCUUCUUGAACCUCUCUAGCGGAUGCACAGAUGGAGAGCCCUGGAGCAAUGUUAGGCUGCAUACAUGCUGGAAGAACCCAACCACAUGGACCCGGCUGGAACACUCUGAUGUCUGUUGUUGACAUGGUGCCCUUGGAGCUGCUCCAGAGAGUGGACCAUGGUGGUAGGCACACAGCCUACGGUGCAGGCGGUAACAUUGUCAGAUGAGAUACAAAAAAAAAAAAUGCCAGGAGGCAUUCAUGGGCCUAUGUCAGCAUUUACAGUUGCACUAGAGCUGUGUUCACUGCAUAGAAGCCUGGGGAAGAUUCCUGGACACGUGGAGUGGCCAUGAAGUGGAAGGAAGAGUGUUCCCAUUUGUUCAUCUCAACCGUCCAGGUUUCAGUUCGGAACUUUGAAAACUUGUGCUUCGGUGGAACAGGCUUUUUUCUUUUAAUGGAGAUUUUAAAUUGACAAUUUUAUGGCAACAAAAAAUUGUCCUAAAA